rnacentral:misc_RNA from 1 species
AACGGUCUAUACCUGCGGUACCUGCGGAGGGAUCAAUAACAGGAGGAUUGGUGAGGGGAUUGGCGGGCGAUCAUGGUGUCACGAUGACGUUGCAUGAUGGUGUCGUGAUGACGUUGCAUGAUGCUGUCGUGAUGACGUUGCAUGAGAUGAUGUCGUGAUGACGUUGCAUGAGAUGAUGUCGUGAUGCUGUGAUGUCGCCGUUCCACCACGUUUACGCUUGAUUGUUUGACAGAGAACGUU